GAACUGCGAUAAGUAAUGUGAUUUGCAGAAUUCAGUGAAUCAUCGAGUCUUUGAACGCACAUUGCGCCCCCUGGCAUUCCGGGGGGCAUGCCUGUCCGAGCGUCAUUGCUGCCCUUCAAGCCCGGCUUGUGUGUUGGGUCGUCGUCCCCCCCGGGGGACGGACCCGAAAGGCAGCGGCGGCACCGUGUCCGGUCCUCGAGCGUAUGGGGCUUUGUCACCCGCUCGAUUAGGACCGGCCGGGCGCCCGCCGGCGUCAAACCCCAAUCUUUCUAAGGUUGACCUCGGAUCAGGUAGGGAUACCCGCUGAACUUAAGC
rnacentral:misc_RNA from 1 species